AGUAACACGUAUGCAACCUGCCUGUAAGCGGGGAAUAACCCGUUGAAAAGACGGACUAAUACCGCAUAAUACUAAAUUACUGCAUGGUAAUUAUUUAAACAUUUAUGGCUUACAGAUGGGCAUGCGCAUGAUUAGCUAGUUGGAGAGGUAACGGCUCCCCAAGGCAACGAUCAUUAGGGGUUCUGAGAGGAAGGUCCCCCACACUGGUACUGAGACACGGACCAGACUCCUACGGGAGGCAGCAGUGAGGAAUAUUGGUCAAUGGACGAGAGUCUGAACCAGCCAAGUCGCGUGCAGGAAGAAUGUUCCCUAUGGAUUGUAAACUGCUUUUGCAGGGGAAUAAAGUGCAUCACGUGUGAUGUUUUGUAUGUACUCUGCGAAUAAGGAUCGGCUAACUCCGUGCCAGCCGCGGC
rnacentral:rRNA from 1 species